ACAGCAUGCUAUAUCUGAGCCUGCAUCUAUAAAGGUGGUGUUUCCCCUUUGUUCACUUGCUGAGACCACUGCCAUGAGAAAAAUACUGGCCUCUGGCUGGGUGAUGAGAGACACAGUCUCAUCAGCCCCAGACUUAUGAAAGAGCCCAGAUGAUACCAACAGCAAGACUGUUCUGGUUGACAACCCUAGAUGCCAGAUCAAUACAUGCUCAAUGCUGUAUGCCCUUGAUGUUUUGUGAUUGUUAUGCAAGACUAUGGUGGUAAGAGAUAAAUGAUACAGGGCACAAAUUUCCAGAUAGACUGAAAGUAGGAAGUUCUGAUUAACCCUUCAUGGAACCCUUGAUGCUUUAUUAAAAUAACAGGAAGACCUUGAAGUAAUGGGCUGGCUUAGCCCAAUCACCUCCUGAGAGUCAUUUAUCUAACUGAGUUGAUUUGACCUGGGGUCCAAGGUUUCAGCCCUCUGUCUGCUAAUAUCAGUAUGCAGAUGGAUUUGUGUCCCUCUGAAUCUGAAAGACAGGUGUCUAGAAAUUAUCAAGUUAAUGCUCACACAAGACCUCCUUGCAUCUGCAUUCUCAAAAUUUAAGCAAGGACCUUAGAAAUGGCUUAAUAAUGGCCACUGACUUAUCUGUACUUGCAAUCAAGGCAGAAUGAGCAAAUUUUCCAGUAGAAUAUAUUUUGGGAAUUUAAAUACAUGUUCUUUUUUUUUCUCCAGGCCUAUAUCUGGUAUAUAUGGAAUUAAUCAGUGUGCCAUCCUUUAGAGACCACCAUUACAUUGUCUUCUGGCUUUUACUUCCAUGAAAGCCAGAAGAGGUUUUUGUGCAAGCCCCAGGGGUUUUUGAAGCUCAGAGGGACAGGCUUUUACCUCUGAAGAGAAGGGGAAUUUGAUUGAAAAUAGAGGCUACUUAUGAUUCAUUCAGAGGAAUUUUCCCUCUCCAUCAUCUUAUUUGCCUAGUGAUUUGAUCCUAUGUGGCUCUUCAGAGCCCACUGUGAGAUGAUUUGCUUCAGCUGCACUGGAUCUUUUUCAAAUAUUUUCCAAGGACAAACACCCUCCCUACAGGUUUCCUCAGCUGUAGUGAUUGUCUUGUCUGGGGAUUGUAUUCUGAUUAAUUUAACUUUAGCUUCCUUACUGCUUCAGUGGAUUCCAAAUUUGUCAUGGUUUAAAAAAAAAAUUCUCUGGGGAAGUUUCAUAAACGAAGUUGGUGAGAACAGGGCUUAGGAUUUAUUCUGCUGAGCAACCUUUAGAAUGUGGUGGGGGUACUGAGAAGUACAGAGAAGAAGAAUGGAAGGAAUGCCAAAUCCUUCCUGAUACAUGUUCAUAGGUCAGGCAUAAUUCAGUUCUGCAGAAAUUUCAGUGAUCAUUGUUCUGUAUAGAGGUGCUCCAUCCAAUUGAGUAGAAAGCAGUGAGAAGCAUGAGAUAUGUGACUGCAGCCAGCAGGGGGCGGAAGCAUCACGGCCAAAUGCCACAACCUCUAUGGAAGUUGCCUGUGCCAAGUAUUGCACACUGUUCUGGAGGCCAGCUUGUUCUGAACUCCAUGCAAGCCUUUCUUUUUGUAAGAUCUUUGCUUUCACUAAGUCUCUUCUGCUGACAGAAUAGGCAGUAGAGUCAGUAUGUCUGGAUUUGAAACCUGGCUGCUCCACUUGUUAGCUUUGUCAUCUCUAUGUACCUCAGUGUUUCUUAUCUGAGAAAUGGGAAAGGACAAUUGUUGUGGAGAUGUGAGGAUGAUUGAGCUAACUUAUAUAAGCAUUUGGAAUAGUGCCUGGCAGUUAUUAAAUAUAAGAUCAAUAUUAGCUAAUAAUAGUAUAGCCUUUCUCUUUGCUUUCCUCCCUCCUUCCUCCCAAGUCUGAUGUAAAAAUAAGUAAAUGUAGCAAUAGGUUAUGGAGGUUGAUUUCUCUUCAUUCUUCAAUACUCAUCCCAAGAGCACAAAAUCAACUCAGUGGCAUUUCUACCAAAAAUGCUUAUGCUAAAUCUAAUAAUGAGAAAAUAUCAGACAAAACCAAAUUGAGGGACAUUCUACUCCAUAACUAGAUUGCUUCAAAAAUGACAAGGUCAAGAAAGACAAAGAAACUGUUCCAGACUGUAGGGUACUAAACAGAUGUGACCCCAAAUGCAGCACAUGAGUUAGGAAUUUAUUUUGCUAUAAAGUAUAUGUUGGGAUGAUUGGAGAAACUUGAAUAAAGAAUGUAGGUAAGACAGUGGUAUUAGAUCAGUAUGAAUCUCCUGAUUUUGCUAAUUGUAGGCUGCGGAAGAGGAUGUCCCUGCUUUUAGAAAACAUACAUUGAAGUAUUUAAGAGUAAAGGGGGCAUAAUUUCCAUAAGUUACUCUCAAAUGGCUUUAAAAAUGUGUAUUUGUAUAUACAUGUAUUAUAUAUGAGAGAGCAUAUUUGGCAUAACAUUUAGUACAUCUGGAUGAAGGGUGUAUGGGAAUCCUUUUUACCAUUCCUGCAACUUUUUUGUAAGCCUGAAACUGUAUGAAAAUACAAAAAAAAAAAAAAAAAAAAAAAAAAGAAAAGAAAAAGAAAAAACAAAAGUAAAAAUAAAAUCUCUCAUCUUAGGUGCUUUCUUCUCCAAGAAACUUUUCUGAUGUUCCCCUGUCCCAGGGAGCUUAGGUGAGGUAGAUGCUCCUGCUCUAUGUAUCCUUGACCUGUGACCUAUCUCUCUGCCAUAACAGCCAUUACAUUGUAACUGCCUGUUUAUGUCAUUCACUGUGAGCCCAGCCCAGAGGCAGGGAUCCUGUUUUAUCAUUCACCUUUGUAUCACCUGAGCUUUGCUAAUACCUGGCACAGAGAGGAAACUCAUUAUGGAUUUGCUGAGUGAUAACAUAGAACUUGGCCUUAUGUACAAGAAGCCAUAGAAGCCUAUCUGGAAAAAGUUCAAAAGUAUGCACGCGACUCUAGAGAAGAAACUCAACUAGAGACUGUAAGAAAUGUAAAGCCAAGCCAGGUUUUGUGCUGAGGUUCUUUAUUUAUAAAGAACUCGGGCUAUAGUGUACAUCAUCUUUAGAAAUCUCCAUGAGGAAGAAAAAUUGGAUGUAGGGGCACUGCAGGAACACCCCUCACUCAGCAGCAGGUGGACACGACUGUGGGUCAGGACCUCCUGCUUCAUGGGGAAUCCUUGUCUGUCAUCAGCACCACUGAUUUGGACCACGUAACCCUUCUAUUCUUCACUCAGAGGAGCAUCAGCAGCGUCUGUGGCCAUACACUUCUCAUAAAAGAUACAACUCUAAUGUCUCCUUAUAAUAGCAGCGAUGAGGUGGGGCACCUACAUGGCCAUUCUGUGGACCAGGAAGAGCCAUCAUCACUACAUCUGCCACUAUCCACAUCCUUCACCUUGAAGGAUGCCUCAUCUUGAAAGAUUCACUGUAGCAUCUUUGGAUCCAGCAACAGAAUCUGUGACCUUCUUCACCCCAAGUGCCUCAAGUAAAUUUACUUCUGCUAGAAGCUUAGAUUUUUCCAGGAUAUUAUUCUUCAAAGAAAUCAUAUGGCUGGCAAAUAAUUUUUUCCUAUUAGAAGAUUAUUAUUAUUAUGAAACUUCUCACUGGUAAUUAAAAAACUCUUGGAAAUGAAGAAUAGGAAGGUUAUCUUUGAAGCCUGGGAAAAGUAACAGAGAUGAAUUGUUUCAUCUCUCUGACCGAACAGCCUCUCAAGAAGAAAACACUUUUUGAAAAAUGAGAUAAAAUGGUGCCUAGUGAGUCAUGAUUUCAGUUUGGAACAACAAUCAGGAAAAAAAAAAGCAUUCCUAAGAAUAAACAUACAGCCACAGAAGACAGUAUAAUCUUACCAAUUUGCCUCAUCACAAAGACUGUGUUAAAGAGUAUCACUGUGUCAAACAGUGGAACUUUUGCAGAUAUAAAUUUGAUGACAUCAGACCUUGAGAUGCCCUUCAAUUAAAACAGUAAUUCAGAUCUCACAAAUGGCAGUUAAAUUCAAGUAUUCUAAAUGUAUGCUGAAUUUUAUGUAAGUGGUACAGGGGAAAUAAAUGACCAUGAACAACAAAAAAAUAAAGUUCUUCUAGAAUCUGCAAAGAGUUUUAUCAUGCAAUCUUGUUAGAUACCAGAUAGCCCCUGUACUGGGGGGAAAAGUGCUUUUUCAGGCUAUUAUUAAAUCUUUUUUCUGCCUCAUUGCCUUUCUUUUUGAAGCUUCAUUGCUUUUAUGCUUAUAGUUUUAUCCACCAUUGUUACCUCUUUUCUGCCAAAAAUGAAUGUCCCACUUAUAUGUGAUUUUAUCCUACAGCCUGCCAUUCUUCUUAACUGUGCAGCUCACAUAUGCAAGCACAUGAGCAGAUGGCCCAUAUACCUACACAGGUUUCGGCCCAUCACCUCUUUCUUUCUCUUCUCUAAGUAUGGACUACCCAGUGCUUCAUCCAAGGCAUUAUUAUCAAUCAAAAGAUGGAUACAUCAGAGAAGACAGAAUAAACAUCUUAGCCCACUAUAUUCACUUCACCACCAUCACCCUAUUGGUGUUGGGCACACACCUACAAGUCACCUGCAGAUCAACUGGCAUCCCCUUGAGAAGUAGGGAGAAAGAAUUGGCUCCUUGCUGUCAUUGACAGAAAAUUGAUUCAGGGGAAGAACCAUGAUAUAGAAGACAGCCUGUCUGACUGGGACCUAGGAGCAAAUCACUCUCUGGGCCUCCAUUUCCUCCUCUACAAAAGGAAGAAGAGCCUUCAAAGGCUUAUUUAUGAAUUUCUAAGUCUGUGAACAUUUUAACAAUGAAAUGGUUAAUUUUUAGAUUUCUGAUUUUAGUAUUUUAAAAUAUUGUACCUACAGGUAGUUCCAGUAGAAUAUUGUUUUGUAUUUUCUUUAUAAAAUAUGUAGAUGAUGACACAAUGAUGUACCAAUGUGGAGUCUGCAACACCCACAUGGAAUCAUUCUUGGGCAGUGUAGUCACUCCCCUUAUCUUUCUGUUUAGGAAGAACAACAGCAAUAACAUUCUUACAGAUGCUAGCCUUAUCCUCACUUCUGCAGAUUUUGAGCCUGCAAACUUUUCAGUGAGAUGAUGUGAGAAAUGGUCAUUAGUGGCUUAUAAUAACCAAAAAGCUGUUUUUUGAAAAAGACAUUAGACUUUCCUGGUUAUGUGAAAUAGCUUUAGCAAUGAAGAUGAUUUUGGUCAUGGAAAAAAAAAAAACACACAGUGAAAUCACCAGUGAGAACCAUUCCACAGCAAACA